GACUGUCUUUAUUUAAAUUAAAGUAGAAUUUAACUUUUAAGUCAAAAGGCUUAAAUUUUUAUAAAAGACGAGAAGACCCUAUAGAUCUUUAUUUAAUUAAUAUUUUAAUAAUUUAGGAUUAAUUUAAUUUAAAGUUUUAAUUAAAUUUUAUUGGGGUAAUAUAAAGAUUAAAAAAAUUCUUUUUAUUUAUUACAUUAAUUUAUGAAUAAAUGAUCCAAUAUUAUUGAUUAUAAGAUUAAGUUACCUUAGGGAUAACAGCGUAAUUUUUUUGGAGAGCUCAUAUCGAUAAAAAAGUUUGCGAC
rnacentral:rRNA from 1 species